rnacentral:lncRNA from 1 species
AAGGACUGCCCACAGAAGAGCAGCUUCGCCUACCACUGAUCAGCACCCCAGUUGGCUGGAAAUUAUGAUCCUAGGAGGAAAGAGAGAUUGGUUCCUGAGAAUGAAUGAAGAUUCAAGUAAGCUGGAUUUGGAGCCUGAUAGUAAGAGUCAUAUUCUGCAAAUAAGCAUAGACUCAGUUGUAAAUCAGUAGAUUUAAUAAAUGGAGUUUCA